rnacentral:rRNA from 2 species
UUCCAGCUCCAAUAGCGUAUAUUAAAGUUGUUGCGGUUAAAAAGCUCGUAGUCGAAUCUGUGUCCCGCGCCGCCGGUUCAUCGUUCGCGGUGUUAACUGGCGUGUCGCGGGACGUCCUGCCGGUGGGCUUAGCUCGCAAGAGCGGCCCAACUCAAUCCCGCCGCGGUGCUCUUCACUGAGUGUCGAGGUGGGCCGGCACGUUUACUUUGAACAAAUUAGAGUGCUUAAAGCAGGCUAAAACUUCGCCUGAAUACUGUGUGCAUGGAAUAAUGGAAUAGGACCUCGGUUCUAUUUUGUUGGUUUUCGGAACCCCGAGGUAAUGAUUAAUAGGAACGGAUGG